CAGGCUGGCCUCGAACUCAGAAAUCCUCCUUCCUCUGCCUCCUGAGUGCAAAGGCAUGCGCCACCAUGCCCAGCCCAGCCUCAGUCUUGAGAGAAUUCUUGUGCGGACAUUCUAAAAGCUUCUGUUUUCAUUCUUUGACACUGUGACACUUUCACGUGAGUCAUGAGAUCAGCUUUGAAUCAACUGUAGAAACUAACCCUGGGGGGUGACCAGUUAGAAGCAGUCAUUGGCAGAGUGCUGUCUAGCUUCUGUGACCUAUCGGACAGUAUGCCUCUUCAAGGGCCCUGGCAUUCUUCCUUCCGGUUACAGCUUGAUCCGGUCAGUUUGGCCAACACCUACUGACAUACCAGGAACGCAGCAUGGACCACAGAAGUCAUCUAUCUUUCCAUUCUACUUUUGAGGAUCUGUGCUAGAGAGAUGACACUGGAUCUUGUCAGCAGUUACCAUCGUUAUGAGAUGAGACUGGGUUUCGUUUUGUUAUUUUAUCUUGAGACUCCAGCUGAGGAUAGCCUUCAACUCUUGAUCUUCUCACCUCCACUUUUCCCCCACUCUGAGAAACAGCAGCGAUCCCCACCAUGUGCCCUCUGAGUCACGUCUCCCACCUCAUCAGGGACCAAACACUGAGCACUUGAGAGCUGCACACCAGGGGAUGUCUUCAGUGGGAACUAUGCAGUUCAAGCCUCACAGUCCUGCCAGGCAUCAGGAUUUUUACAUGACGAAAUGUCCUCCCAACUUCAGGCCUGUUUGAAUACUUGUCAAUGUCUAUCUUUCACUCUGAACUUUCAAUCAUUUACACUUGAUGAUGUCACAGUUUCCUUUACUUGCCAUGGUUGUUACUGAUCCAUUUGCCCCACCCUGCCGCACACACAUUGCUUCAUUAUUAAAUUCCUUGGGAAUUACAAUAUAAAUUUUUCUUGAAAAAUAUCAAUGUUUACUUCACUUACAUUUUAUAAAUUAUAUUCAUUUUCUAUAUAGUUGAUGUAAAUAAAAUUUCCUUUGCUUAUGAUGA